rnacentral:misc_RNA from 1 species
UAAACAACAUAACGAAGAUUCUUUGUCUUUUUAUUUUUAUUAAUAAAGAUAUACAACGCGUUAAAUAUAUCAUUUCUAUUACACAUUUAUUUAUCGAAAUCUGAUACCAUCUCGGUACGUCAAGCAGCAUUCGGCAUUUUCCUGUUGAAUCCACACAGCAUGGCGUUAUCAAAGCGCAUAGCUAGAUCGUGUAUUCAUCUUGGUGUCGUUCAACUGAUAUUUGGUUGUGCUGGUGUAGCAUGUGGGGCUGUAGCAAAGAGCAAAUUGACAGGCCCCGUGGGAGCAACUAUUGGAUUAUGGGCAGCAUAUUUCAUCGCUUUAGGCGUGAUUUGUCUUACUGCGGGAGUUUUUAAAGAAUCCAGAGUCCUUGGAUUUGCUCUUGUUUUUCAAGUCAUUGGCCUGUUCAUCGCAGCCGCUGGAAUAAUAAUUUCCGCCAUAUUUUGGACAUUUCUGAAUACUUGCUCGAGUUCGCUGGUUGUUGGUCCAGUUUUACCCGAUCACUGUCCUUGCGGGGUUGCUGCAGAUCUUACGGACUAUGACAUUAGUUGUUCUGAUCUGAGAACGGUGAGAAAUGUCACAGCUGCCUCCACAUUUAUCUAUUUGAUUUUGGAAAUUACUUCAUUCAUCGGUGUAAUCUAUGCUUGUGUUGGCAUAUGUUGUGCACCAAAGGAACCAAGGUCUGUUACUGUCACCACAGUUAAUUCACAUGGUGCAUCAAAUCCUGAGUCAAAACCGAUGAUUAUGACCAAAAUAUUUAGAAAGAAACAUCAACCACAGGAUGACAAAAAGAAAAAUCGCAAGCGUUGAGAAACCUCAAUCACAUGACUGCCAAACUACACUCACACGAGAUAGUCACUCUUUCGGGACAUUACAACAGAUACUUCUGACGUUCUCGAUCCUGAAUAUUCUGACGUUCUCGCUUUAUUCAAGAAAAUGUUAGGUAAGCAAAU